UGGGGAAUAUUGCGCAAUGGGGGAAACCCUGACGCAGCGACGCCGCGUGCGGGAUGAAGGCCUUCGGGUUGUAAACCGCUUUUGAUUGGGAGCAAGCCUUUUGGGUGAGUGUACCUUUCGAAUAAGCGCCGGCUAACUACGUGCCAGCAGCCGCGGUAAUACGUAGGCCGCAAGCGUUAUCCGGAAUCAUUGGGCGUAAAGAGCUUGUAGGCGGUUAGUCGCGUCUGGUGUGAAAGCCAAUCGCUUAACGGUGGGUUUGCGCCGGGUACGGGCGUGGUAGAGUGCAGUAGGGGAGACUGGAAUGCCCGGUGUAGCGGUGGAAUGUGUAGAUAUCGGGAAGAAGACCAAUGGCGAAGGCAGGUCUCUGGGCUGUUACUGACGCUGAGAAGCGAAAGCGUGGGGAGCGAACAGG
rnacentral:rRNA from 1 species